rnacentral:rRNA from 1 species
GGCGAGUGAAGCGGCAACAGCUCAAAUUUGAAAUCUGGCCCUCGGGUCCGAGUUGUAAUUUGCAGAGGAUGCUUCGGGCGAGGCUUUGAUCGAGUCCCCUGGAAUGGGGCGCCACAGAGGGUGAGAGCCCCGUAUGAUCAGCCGCCGAACCCGUGUGAAGCUCCUUCGACGAGUCGAGUAGUUUGGGAAUGCUGCUCUAAAUGGGAGGUAAAUUUCUUCUAAAGCUAAAUACCGGCCAGAGACCGAUAGCGCACAAGUAGAGUGAUCGAAAGAUGAAAAGCACUUUGAAAAGAGAGUUAAAAAGCACGUGAAAUUGUUGAAAGGGAAGCGCCUAUGACCAGACUCGGGCUCUUGGGAUCAUCCGCCCUUCUGGGCGGUGCACUCCCUCGUUCUCGGGCCAGCAUCGGUUCUCCUCGGGGGAUAAAGGCGCCAGGAACGUGGCUCCCUUCGGGGAGUGUUAUAGCCUGGCGCGUCAUGCUCCGGGGGGGACCGAGGACCGCGCUUCGGCAUGGAUGCUGGCGUAAUGGUCACCGGCGACCCGUCUUGAAACACGGACCAAGGAGUCAAGCAUUAGGGCGAGUGUACGGGUGUAAAACCCGAACGCGCAGUGAAAGCGAACGCUGGUGAGAGCUUCGGCGCAUCACCGACCGAUCCUGAAGUCUUCGGAUGGAUUUGAGUAGGAGCCUUAACGCUUGGACCCGAAAGAUGGUGAACUAUGCCUGAAUAGGGUGAAGCCAGAGGAAACUCUGGUGGAGGCUCGCAGCGGUUCUGACGUGCAAAUCGAUCGUCAAAUUUGGGCAUAGGGGCGAAAGACUAAUCGAACCAUCUAGUAGCUGGUUACCGCCGAAGUUCCCUCAGGAUAGCAGUGUUGUCUU